rnacentral:rRNA from 1 species
UACGUAGGGGGCAAGCGUUGUCCGGAUUUAUUGGGCGUAAAGAGCUCGUAGGUGGUUCGGUAAGUCGGAUGUGAAAUCUCCAGGCUCAACCUGGAGGGGUCAUUCGAUACUGCCGUGACUAGAGUUCGGUAGGGGAGUGUGGAAUUCCUGGUGGAGCGGUGAAAUGCGCAGAUAUCAGGAGGAACACCGGCGGUGUAGACGGCUUUCUGGACCGUAGCUGACGCUGAGACACGAAAGCGUGGGUAGCAAACAGG